GCUCGAUCCCCUCUCACGCCUAGGGUUCAUAGAGGUUGCGCCGCCACCGCUUGGCUCGGCCUCCUCCUUCCCUUCCCCCCCCCCACCUCCAGCCACACCCGUCCGACCACCUGCCGGAUCCCGCGCCGCCACGCCUGCAUCGCUCCGGUCUUCUCCCACAACUCGCGCAUCGCAACGGCGCUCGCGCCCGCGCGGUCUCCUCCAUGACCUGUCUCCCUUGCGGCGGCGGCGACACACAUGACGCAUCCGACGGCGAGCUCCACAGGUCAACGCAUCCUCUCUUCUCUCCCAUGGAAGUCCCUCCCCUCUCACAUCUCUCUCUCUGUCUGCGAGCGGUGGCGGCCGGCUGCGCGACAGGUCGAUCUGGUCACGCCUUCCCACCAUCGACCUCGCCGUCAUUGAAGCACGCCACCACGCCGCCGCUCUUCUGUCUCUCCCUGCUCGCCUCCCGCGGCCAAGGAGCGCCCCAACCUCGCAUGUCGCUCGUGUGGCUCCCAUGGUGCCGCCCCGCAUAGCUCCUUGCUGAGCGCUGCAGGUCUUGAUGCCCGCCGAUUUGAUCUGCACAGCCACUCAAUCCUCGGAACUCCCGAUCGACGGCAACUCGACCGGGGGCUGGGGUGAGAAGACUUCGACAAUGCAGACGAGGAAGAUCACGUCGUGGACGAUUGCCUCAGCUAGGGUCCUUUGUUGUCAUGGCACCGUUGACCCUGUGCUGCGGGCCGGCGAGGUCGUUGAACUUGCCGAAGGCAUCACCAAGCUUCUAUCUCUAGAUCUGCACCAAUCCUUGUCAGAAAAUUGAGAAGUCAUGGCAUAGUCAAAUCUGAACAAGCCGUGUGGAGCUUCGCCAUGAGUCUGCACAUGAAUUUGGGAAUGGAUGGAUGUCACUCCGAAGAAGUCAGAGAAUAUUUUCAAUGCGCAGCAGGACAAGAGAAAAGAAGAGAAGCAAAGAGAGGACCAAGAUCUCUAGCUAUCAAUGAAAUUUUCAGAGUAGUUUUUGUUGCCUUUGUGUAACCCUGAUAGCAGCUUCUUGGAAGGUUCAGAUGUGUGGCAAAGGAUUUCAAUUUUCCUGUUUACACAAAGGAAACUCGAGGAAGGUUCAGAUUUCUCAUGCUUGGUUCUGUGCUCUCAGGGUUACAUAGACAAAAAUGCCUCCUAUUUACACAAAGGCAACUCGAGGAAGGUCCAGAUUUCUCAUGACUGCUUCUUCGGCAUUUCAUGCCUGUGCCAUCUUAUUAGAAAAUGUAGUUUGUUUUAUAGCUGAUGAUGCUUGAUGCUUUUAUCGAUUAGUAAAUGCUCAGCUUUAGCUCAUAAACUACAUGGCAAAAGCUACUUCCGAUGGGUCUGAUGCAAAUAAUUUUCAUCUUUAGACAUUCCUUUAGUUGAUUAUUUAAUCCUUUUAUAAGAAUCUAUUUAGCUUUGUAUUGUUGCAGUUUCAUUAUAUAUCCACUUACCAAUGCAUCUAAAGAUUCAACAAUGUAGAAUCCAGCAUCAGUCUUGGGACUACAAAUUGUUUCUUCAUUCCUCCGUGUUGCACUGUAGGUGAUAAGGGGUCGAGGUCGUAUGUUCGUCGUGGCAUCAAUACAGUAAUACACUUCACUUUCCUUUUCCUUUUCCCUUUUUCUGUUCUUGCAUUUAUUUCUUCUUCGCGGACCUCUCUGUCUACUGCUUUAAUAUGGUUCUGAUUGGUGCCCUGCAUCUUCCAAGAUAUAUGGAUUUUGGUCGAGCAAAUACCAUGACAUGAGCUUGAAGAUUUCAAAGAUACAGAAGGUUGACAGAAAGAGGAUACACUGAUUUCAGCUGCGGACAUUGAGCUGAGUCUCUCCCUAAUAGGUGUUUCUCUCUACUUUGUGCUCCAGAUUUGUUUCCCUACAAUAUGGCGGAUUAAUGCAUAUUCUUCUGAAGUCAUAGUACAUUCAUGGUCUGUAUAUAUGUUUGUAUGCUGCAAACCUGAGUCCGGUUUCAAAGUUUGGCCGCAGCUAGCUUGAUUUGGAGACAUUUCCUGUUAGGAGUUAAACUUUGGUUUGGAGGCAUCGAGCUUUGGCUGUAACUAGCUUUGUUACUUGGUAUACCUCUGUCAGCAUUCAGGAGCCGGGUAGUUGUUGAGCGGGUUGUGGGAGAGGCGGUCGGCGAGCGCGGGCUAGACGGGAAGGUGAUGCUUGCGAUGGCGACCAUGCCGGCGGGCAGGGCAAGGUCGAUUGUGUCCAUCAUGGUGUUUCCGAGGGAGAGCGAGGCAUCUGCCAUCGCGCAUCUGAAGAAGUCGAUGCUUGGGGCGAGGUUGACCACCGUGGCCGGCGUGAAAGCGGACGGACUUAAAGGCCGGUGACAGGUUUGCCGUCGUCGCACCGUCUCUCAACUUGGCGGAGAGGCGAAAGGAGAGCGGUGGCACCAUGAAGACCUCGACGCCUGCUGCUGUGACCACGACCAGGCCAUUGUGUUUGUAAUAAAGAUACUAAUUGUAUACAUAUCCCCCAGCUUCAAAAACAUUAGAUAAAUAUCCAACUUAUUAUUGAAAAAUCUUGAUUCAAGAUAAAUGGAACCUUUCCUAUAUACAAUGAGCUUAUUAUUUGAAGGUUGCAUUGAUUGUGCUAUUAUUGCUGAAAUAAGAGGCUUACGUGAAUUUGUCAA